rnacentral:snoRNA from 1 species
GCGCCUCAGCAAACCCUGUCCUCCUGUCCGUGUUGGACAUGGGCAAUGAUGGUGCCAUAGUGACUCAAAAUAUAUCCAGACAGAUCUCCCUCUAUUGGAGCCUGUCUCUACAACUGACACAACA